GUGGGGAAUAUUGGACAAUGGGCGCAAGCCUGAUCCAGCCAUGCCGCGUGAGUGAUGAAGGCCUUAGGGUUGUAAAGCUCUUUCACCGAUGAAGAUAAUGACGGUAGUCGGAGAAGAAGCCCCGGCUAACUUCGUGCCAGCAGCCGCGGUAAUACGAAGGGGGCUAGCGUUGUUCGGAAUUACUGGGCGUAAAGCGCACGUAGGCGGAUAUUUAAGUCAGGGGUGAAAUCCCAGAGCUCAACUCUGGAACUGCCUUUGAUACUGGGUAUCUCGAGUAUGGAAGAGGUGAGUGGAAUUCCGAGUGUAGAGGUGAAAUUCGUAGAUAUUCGGAGGAACACCAGUGGCGAAGGCGGCUCACUGGUCCAUUACUGACGCUGAGGUGCGAAAGCGUGGGGAGCAAACAGGAUUAGAUACCCGAGUAGUCC
rnacentral:rRNA from 1 species